AAGAAAUAGACAGCCGGAAAUGUAAAAGAUAAGGAUAAAUGUAAACAAACAGCAAAGUACUCGCUUAACUCUUAAUUGGUCAUUGGUAACUACCAAAAAACUAUGAAGAUUAAUUCACACAUUACUAAUAAGUAAUGAAAAUUGUUAUAAACACAACUAGGUUGUAAAAAUUCACUGCAAUGUUCGAUAAAAUAGUAUUUUUCACAUUUAUUUAACUUUUUGGGGACUUUUGAAGUCUAGAAAGAGAUGACAUGUACGUUAGGUUUAAUGCUUAUAAUGGGUGAGAUGUUACAAAGACAGCACGGAAAACAAAACAAUGUGCAUGUAGUUGCACUUCCACAACUCAACAAAACAUGUGACUAAUUUGAGCUGAAAGCUGCCAUUGUAAAUGGGAAUGUUGUAAUGUGUGACUUUCUUAACAAAAGUGUUUAGCUACCUGGUGUGAAGUUCCGUUGUAUUUUUGUAUGAAGAUAUUGAAUGUGGUUCAAUGAAUUUUGUAUGUAGUCCAGAUAUGAUUUAAGUGAAGAUAUUUUGAUUGAUACGGAGAAAAUUGUGAUUGAAUUGCAGGAGAAGUGUCAUGUAGAAAGCAAUGCCAACAUUCAUGGGAAUGCCAGGAAUCUCAAAAGAGCUUUUAGAAGAUGUAGAUGAUUUCAUUAAGUAGUGAUGCUGAAAAUUUGAAUCGAAAGACGAUAUCAUUUGGUUGAUGAGUUUUUAAAUUAGCCAAAUUGCUUAGGUUUCUUAGAAGCCAGUGAGAAUACUUAUAACACGCCUUAAUGACGGAAUACAUGAUGGAAUAAAAAUGAAUUUUCAAGAUAUUUAAUUUAACAUGAAGCAAAUUCACUUCCAAGAAAAUCGCCGAUUUGAAUCGGAAAAGAAAACUAUAAAUAUUUAUGUGCAAAUAUUAGUAAAUAAAUUAUUUUGUGUUAAA